rnacentral:rRNA from 1 species
CCUACGGGAGGCUGCAGUGGGGAAUAUUUCACAAUGGGGGAAACCCUGAUGCAGCGACGCCGCGUUCGUGAUGAAGUAUUUCGGUAUGUAAACCUCUAUCAGCAGGGAAGAUAAUGAUGGUACCUGACUAAGAAGCUCCGGCUAACUACGUGCCAGCAGCCGCGGUAAUACGUAUGGAGCAAGCGUUAUCCGGAUUUACUGGGUGUAAAGGGAGGGCAGACGGCAGAGCAAGUCUGAUGUGAAAGUCCGGGGCUCAACCCCGAGACUACAUUGGAAACUGUCCGGCUAGAGUGCGGGAGAGGUAAGUGGAAUGCCUAGUGUAGCGGUGAAAUGCGUAGAUAUUAGGAGGAACACCAGUAGCGAAGGCGGGUUACUGGGAUGUAACUGACGUUGAGGCUCGAAAGCGUGGGGAGCAAACAGGAUUAGAUACCCUGGUAGUC